UUUCCGUAGGUGAACCUGCGGAAGGAUCAUUAAUGAAUAUUAGGGUGCUCCUCUUCAUCAGAGAGACCCGACCUUCAUUUCCAACACUGUGAACCCAAAAUUGAGGACUUGUCGCGAGACGAGAUACUCAUUCAUUUUAAAACUCUCAGUUUAAGAAUGUAACAAACCAAAACAAAAAAAAACUUUCAACAACGGAUCUCUUGGCUCUCGCAUCGAUGAAGAACGCAGC
rnacentral:misc_RNA from 1 species